rnacentral:lncRNA from 1 species
AUGGCCUCUGCCCAAUGCCCUCUCUCCAACAGGGAGCCCAGGAGCCAUCCAGAGGCCUCGAGGGGUGACGUCCUCGGGGGAGCAGGGCAGCCGGGCCAGCCCUGGACCCCAGGCUGGGUGGACAAGGCAGAGUUGGACAGUGCUGCCACGGGGACCUGGCCGCAGAGGGAAGACGGGCUCUGUCCGUCCGUGGCUGAGGACUGUGCCGUGGCCAUGGCCCAGCAGCCAGGUGGCCUGGGAGCACCUGCCCUCCUGGCCUGGUCCAGUAACAGGGAUGCUGUGGAGCCUGCGCUGCGGGGCAGGGCUUGCAGCCUGCCCGUGUGGUCCACUGACCAGGAGGCCAGGGGAGGGGGCAGCUCAGUGUCCUCUGGCCGUCUGUCUGGCUCCUCAGGAGGCCAUGUGUCUCGCGCCCCUCCCCACGGGCCCUGGAAGGAGCGGCUGCCCCGGGGGCUGGGGUCCCAGCGGCCGCCCAGAAAGAGUGACCCCAGGCUGGAGCGGCUGCGGGACCGGAUCUGCCAGCAGGCGCGGGGACAGGUGAGCUGCGCCUCCCUGGGCACCUCGGCCCCCUCCAGCGCCUCGCGCCUCUGCUCUGCCUCCACGCCAGCGCCCCGGAGGAGGACCUACAAGGUGACAGCCGCCCUUCCAGGCCCCGCACACUCAGGACUCAGCAUCCUCCGUGUGGCGGAGCCCCGAGAGGAAGACCAGGCGCCCCUAGGCGUGGGGCAGGAGCUCUCUCGGGCCACCCGGCACCAGGCUCCGGGUCUCCGGGACAAAGCCAGGAGGACUUGGGCCCGCUCCUGCAGAAGGGACAGGGCCCCCAGGUCACUCUCGCCCGGCAGAGCUGGCAAGGGCAAAGAUCCCGAGUCUGUCGGUAUUCGCGCCUGGAGGAGAGGACAAGAGCUGGCGCGGCUGCUGCUGGGGCCGUCUCCUGCCCGGCCCGCACGCCCAAGCACCAGCCCCUCAAGGGACCUGGGCCCUGCCAUGGCAUUAGGAGACAUCAAGAGGGCUUCGGCCACUGAGGGCUCAUCAGUCCACACCUGGCCAGACAGGCUCGCCUCGGCCGGCAGUGACCCUCAGGUGUCUGAGAACACAGCCAGCCUGGCUUGCCAUGGCCAGCGGGCAAUGAUCCACACCGCCAUGGCCAUCCUACAAGACCUCCGCCAGCAAAUCCAGGCUGGGCUGGAGCUGGCUCAGGGCCCUAGGCUUGAGCCGAAGCGCAGAGCGUCCAAGCUGAAGCCGCAGAACCUAGGCCAGCAGGGUCGCUGGAGCAUCCAGCUCAGGCAGGGCUCCUGCCCGAAGAGUCCCUGCGACGUGGUAGAGGGGACGCACUCCGCCCUAGACAGGGCCAGGCGCGCCCACCCCCAGCAGCCCUCGAGCACCUCGGCCAAGUGGGAGCCCUGUCCCUCGAGGGCCUGGGAAGCCGCAGGAUGGGACCCCUGCUUCCAGAGACCUCCGAGCCCCUCUGAGAAGCUGAGCCCCUGUGCUCAGGGGCCCUGGAGUGCCUUGCCCUGGCUGGCCUGUCCUCAGUGGGCCUGGGUGCAUAAUGAAGACUGGGAGGUCCCUGACCCCAGACCAUGGAGCCCUCUGGAACGACCAUAUCUUGCCCCUCAGCGCUCCUGGAGUGGCUCCUACUCAAAGAGAGCUAGGUCCCCCUGCAAGGGCAGAGGCGCCACCACCCCUCCCUCCAAAGCCAAGCAGGCCUGGCCGUGGAGCUUACAAGGGAAGGAGCUGGGUGCAGAGCCGUUCCCACCCCACCUGCAGCCCCGGGGGGCCCUGGGCCAGUCACACAGCUCGGAGGCCCUGUGCAACUUCCUGCACCAGAAGGCACAGGCGUGGAGGCAGCAGUCCCUGCAGCAGACGGUCACAAACACAGAUGCACUGGAACGGAGAAGCCAGAAGCUUCAAGAGGUCUACCGGAAGCAGCGGGAGGCCGUGCAGGGCAAGGCAGUCUCUGUGGUCUCCCAGACGAACCCCGGCAUCGUCACCUUCGUGUCCAGUUCUGCACAGUCUGGGGACCUGAAAGCCCCUGGGAGCCUGGAGCCCCCGGAACAGGAGUGGAGCAAAGUGACUUCGGGCAUGGUGCUGGGGAACCAGGAGGUACCAGGCAGCUUCUGUCUGUGUCUGAACAGAGCAUGGAACCGCCUGGAGACGCCCCUGCCUGUGUCUGCCACCUCCUCACUGGGCUCCGUAUGGCUCCAGGACCCAGGCCGGGGGCUGCACGUCUGCUUGGACCCGCAGAUGGCUGAGCAGCUGGACCUGUCGGGCCCACUGCACACACAGCACAAGCAGGCCCGGCUGCAGGCGCUGGAGACAAUGGCCAACGUCCUGCAGCAGCGCAUCGACAUCCUGACUGCCAAGCUGCACCGGAAUGAGGCGCCAGACAGCAGCCAGGACGCAGCUUCCGAGCUGAAGUCCCUGGGGCCCAGCACCACGCCCACUGCCCCGGCCUACCCUGGGGCUUCGCUGCCCAGGGGGGACAGAGGGUCACGCGGUGAUGACUUCCUGGAUGCGGAGCCACUUCUGUGGAGCCCAGGUGCCACGCAGGAGGGACGUUGGCAGCUGGAGCACAGGCUGCAGGGACACUCAUCUCCCUUCCAGGCCGCUGGCGCCAGCAUGGGGAGCAUGCUGGGGGUGCCUGCCGCUCCACACCCCACCUGUGGCUCCCCGUGGCUGGAGGAGAGGCCGGCGGCCAGAGGGGUGGGCUUGGUGACGCCCUGGACCCCCCGGAGCUGCGGUCCCCAGGAGCCUGGGGCGCCACGUCCCAGAGGCCGAGGUGGGCACCUCGCCGACUUCCAGCUGAAGUCCUUGAGAUUCCUCGAAUCACUGAAGCAGGACCCAGGACUUGGGCUGUCACCACAGCUGGAGCAGCGGCAGCAGCAGCAGGAGCAGGCCCUGGCCCUCCUGCGGCAGCGGGCAGAGGAGGAGGUCUGGGAGACACAGAUGGCCCUGGACGGGCUGCUCUUCAAGCACCAGCUGGAGCGGCUGUUGGAGAAACACAGGCCCCGCAGCUGGCUGGGAAGGGCUUCCAAGCUGGAGCAGCCACAGAUCCAUGUGGGCCCAGCGCCCACAGCAUCGGCCCAGAGCCCCGAGCCAGCCAAAACCAGGUCACCCCCAGCCCUGGGCAGAGACGUGACCGGGUCCUCCCAGGGUCCUGAGGAGGGGCAGGCCAGUGUGGAGGGCAAGUCGGCAUCUGCAGGGCUGGCCACACCCGACCCAGGCUCCGCCCGGCUGCGCCCCGCCAGACUCUGCCCUCCGGACAGCCCUGCCCACCAGGGGAGCGCGGCGGGGACCGGGAGUGCUGAGCCCGGAGCCGGCAGGGUCGGUGUCCGGCCGUGUACCGCGGCGUUGGAGCAGAGCUUGCGGGAGGAGGGGCUGCGCGCUCAGCAUUGGGCCCCGCUGCUGCGCCUGCGCGAGAUGGCGCUGGAGGAGAAGGCGCGCGCCGAGCGGGCCUGGCUGGAGCACCAGCGAGGGUGUCUGGGGCGUGGGAGCCACCAAGCCACAAGGGCUGCCUUGUUGGAGAGGACGCAGGCCCUCAGCAGGCUGGAGAAGGAGUGGAGGGAGAUCCGGGACCUGCGGGACCUGCACAGGUCAGUGCUCCAGGGCAGGCAGCAGCUGCUGCAGCAGCAGGAGGCCACAGUGCAGAGGCUGGCGACAUUGCAGCAGAGUCCCAGCCCCCAAGUCAAGCCCACCUGGCAAGGAGCCUCUGAGACAGGCCAGCAGCUGGAAGGAGCCCUGUGCCCCCAGACUGCAUGGAGGCCUGGCAGCCCCGCCAGCCCACAAGCCCACAGAGGCCCUGAGAGUGCAGAGGGCGCACGCCUUGCCCCUGAACCGUGGGAGGAGACACCCCAGACACCUGCAGAUGCCGCCGGCCACCAGCAGCCACCGAGUCCGGCCUCAGGAGGGGACACAGCCGAGGCCAGCAGCCUCCCGAAGGCGGGAGGCAGCCACAUAGACCAAGAGCCUUGUGACCCUCAGCUGGGCCAUCUGCACUCAGGCUCGCUGGACCCUGGACAGCUGUUGGAUUCCACCUAUCCUGCCCUCGAGGCAAAGAGGGACAGCCCCAUAGCUCAGCUUGGGGUGCAGGAGGCACCGGAGCCGCCCACAGGGGACUCUCAGACCCAGGCCAGAGCCUGCUGGGCCAAGAAGAGACCCACGGCUCCGAGGGAUGUCAGAGCGCACAGCUUCCAGGGACAUCGCCUAUACCACCUGGGGGCAGAUGGUCCUCGCUGUCCCCAGGAAGCAAGUAUGGCUGAAGGAAGCACACACCAAGCUGGACUAGAUGUUGCUGGGAGCCCCGUGGGGGAGCCCCUGGAAGUGGCGAGCAGGCUGCCCAGGGAGCUGAGGACCGAGACCUGUUGGCAGGACAGCAGCAUCCCACUGGCCGCCUCCCCAGCUCUCCCUGUCUCAGCAGCUCCUGCGGCCCUGGAGGAGGAGGCGGCAUCCCCCACCCCGCCCAGGCCUGCUACCCCUGUGCACCCGGGCUCCGAGCCUGCAGCUGGGCUUUCCUGGGCGUCUCCGCGGUCCCCGGCGUCAUCCCCUCUGUCCUCAGCAGGCUCUGGGAGUGGCCUGGCCUGCUCCUCCCUCCAGGAGUUUCAGAAAGCCACAGCCACCCUGGUGCAGCUUUCUGACCGCUCGCUCUCCCCGUCCGGCCCAGAGGCCGAGGGCAGCCCAGGCACAGACCCCAGCUGGUCUGAAGAGCUGUCUGUGCCCGGGGACUUGGGCCCACCCUCGUCUUGGGGGCUCUGCCAGGGUGACCCUCAGUGGGGUGCUGUGCCGGGGGGUGCUGGGCUGACGACCUGGCCGGGGCUGGAGUGUGGCCAGGCUGCCCCCCCGCCUGGUGCUCCUAGGGAGGUGGCUGCGGCAGAAGACUUGGUCCCAGGGCGGAGCUGUCUGCAGACAGGCUGGCCACUGCCACCUCAAGAUGUCUGUUCUCCAAGGUCCGGGUCGGAGCUGUCAGAGGCCUCCAGCCAAGUUUGGGAUGAGGACAUUGAGGAGAACCUACUAGAACCCGGCCUGGUGGCCCAGCCCACCUCUGGGUGCUCCUCGCCUCCUGGCUCUUCCAGCUGGGAACACAGCAUGGUUGGGCCUGCCCUGGGCUCGGGGCAGGGACAGGAACCUUCUGAAACCAGCGAGAGCCUGAGUGGGGGGUCAAACACAGGGAGCCCUGAGCAGUUGUCCUCCGAGGCAGCCUCCACCAGUGACCUAGACCUGUCACUCUCAUUUCCUUCAGGGACUUCUGCAUCCAGAGGGGCUCGCUGCCAGGAGAGGGCCCGGGGGGCUGGCCCGAGCCUGUCCCCUGGAAGGAACCCCCCACAGGCCUCUCCAGGGCCUGAGGUCCCCUAUGGGCUGGCAUCCCUUGUAGCCGAGGGCCAGGCAGCUGGGUGUGCAGGGAAUGAGGCCCCCCAAGUCCCAGAGCAAGCUGGCCCCCCGCCCGGCACUGGUUUCCCAGCUGGGGCAUCGUCCCCUGUGGAUGAGGAGUGGCGGUGUGGCGGUGGGGACCUCCCGUGUGCCCCCUCCUGGGAUGCCCACCUCCCCCCACCGCCUUCCCCUCCCCCUGCAGACAGUCAUGGGGAUGAGGCCCAGCCCUGCUGCGAAGACUUCCCUUCCCCGCCCCAAGAGGCCAUGGUUCCCCAAGGCUCCCUGGGCCCCCUGGAGGAGGACAUCUCCAUUGCCACCCAGGACUUGUCCUUGUCCGAGGGGGCCCCAAAGCAGGCUCUGUCUCAGGGUUCCCAGGAGUUGGGACUUGAUCUGAGGGCAUCCUGGCUGUGCAGGGGCCCUGAGUGUGAACUGGGGGGGUUAGGAUCUGCAGUGGGGACUCAGGCCUCCAGUGGCCAGUGGUCUGAACAGAUCACCUGGCCAGAGUCGCCCUUGGGUGGAGGGGGAGGCAGUGUCCCUGGGGGGCUCCCAAGAGCACCAACAUGGCCCUCAUUCCCAUCCCGAGGGGGCUGUGUUGCCGGGGAGGGUCUGUCUGGGCUGUUGGUGGCUGGUGACCCCGAUGUGCUGAGUGUGGGACCCUGCGCUCUCAAGAAGGCCUUGGGCAGGUGCAUGGGACCCCAGGAUGGGCUGCAGUGCUUUGAGAGUACAGGGCGCCUGGGAGGCUCCAGCAGCUCCUCCGCCCCUCCCCAAGACCCGGUGCCCUUGGUGGCCCAUGGUCAGGCGGGGUCCCUGGGGCACACUGGUGAGGAGGGUGUGGAAGGCCUGAGCCACUGGGCAGAGGACUCAAUGGGCAGAGAGCUGCUCCCAGGGGAACACUCAGCCACUGGCCACCAGCCCCCGGGAUCCUGCUCUAAUUUCCUGGGCACAGAGAGGGACGACGCAGUGGCCGUGGUGUCCACCCAGCUCACCCAGAGGAUCCUGUUGGACUCCAUGGCUGUGUUGGCCCCUGGGGGCAGCCUCUAAACACUGCGAUGUCACUCUGUGACCGUGUGUGAGUGUGUGUGAGUGUAUAUGUGUGUGCGUGUGUGUGCGCAUACACACAAGAGCCUCUGGAAGCUAGCCGUUUCCUCCUGGGGUAGACGGGUCAGGCUGGCUGGCCAUCCACGGCCAGCUGUGCAGGAAGUCAUCUGACAGGGCGUCCGCUAUCUGCGAUUCUCUGCUUGUGGGCUGCAUGGCUUCCGGGUUCUCAAGGCCCCUGGCCCAAGUCAGAGAGCAGCGUGGCAGAGGCUGCGUGGGCAGCACAGAGGCUGCUGCUCAGGGCAGGCCGAGGAGCACUGCCCCAGUGGGCCUAGAGGACAGAGGGAGCAGACAAGACAGGGUAGGGCGAGGGCAGGAAGAGCCGGGGAGUGUGGAGCUGGCCAGGGCUGAGAGGAGACAGGACUUGCAGGGUGGCAGCUCAGGGCCUGCAGGUCACUUCAGCCCGGACCAGCAGAGCCUGGGGCCCUGGGCUUGUCCCCUCGGAUGGGGUCACUUCCAGCGUUGUGGGUGCCUCUGUCUCCGGUGGGCUCUCUGGGUCUCCCGGGCCCCCCUCCCUUUUCUCAGGGUCCCUGCAAGGCCACCCUGCCUCGUUCAUGUCCCAGUGAGCUCCGUACUGGGGGACCCUGAGUGGUUCUUUGGGGAGGGGGAACAUGGCUCUGUCCUGUGUCUCCUCUUUGCAGAGGUGCCCCCUUUCUCAGGACAGGUGUCCCGGGGAAGGCUGGGCUGUGGGCUCCAGCACCCAGCACCGCCUGUGUGGGGAGAAGCCAUGGGGCCGCCCCAGAGCCGCAGACCUACAGGGUCCCUGAGCGUCCCCGAUUCCACAAGCCUCUGAUAGUGCUCAGGUGUAUCUGGGAGGAGGGGGUGGGCCAGCCACAUCCCUGGGCUUCCUGGAGCGGACAGGUCCUGCAGAAUGGCCACCUGUGCUGGCUGUGCAGGAAGUCACCUUUGUGACCGUCCCCCAGGAAGUCCACCCACUUCGCUGAAGCCCAGCACGGAGCAGCGCCACAGCCACUAGUGCCAGGCUUGGAUCACCCAGGACCUCCCCAUCCACCCUUGCCCCGAGGCUAGGUGGUAGUGGGGAGUGGGUGGCAUGGGGCAUCUUAAAAUCUCAUGUGAGAGCACAUUUGGGCCUCACUUGAAGCUGCCGCAGACCUGUCCGGGGACCCAGCCUGGCAGGACAGCAGUGUCUGGGGCAGGCUGGCUGUGGGCGGGUGUCUGUGUGCUUGCUGCUUCUGUCCUGAACCUGUACCUGCCCUGCCCGCAGGGAAGCGGCUUCACACCAGCCCAGCGGCGGGUGCUCUCACCACAGAUGCAGCUUUCAGAUCUGCUUUCUGACUCCCAACCCAGGGUUUUCUGAGAGGACCUGGAGCCUGUGCUGGGAGCUCUCUGAGGCUACGCUCCAUUCCUGAGGCAGCACGCAUGUGUGUCCGUGUGUGUGUGUGUGUGUGUGUGUGUGUGUGUGUGUGUGUGUGCACACGCGUAUGUGUGUGUGUCACUCUUCUUCUAGCCAUCCCUGGUCAUUCACCAUCCAUAUACUCAUCUGUCUGUCUGCCUACCAGUCGGUGUGUCCACCGACCUUUACCAGCUCACUUCCAAAUCAUUACAAAUCAUUGUGUUGAAGCUGAACACAAGCCUGUAAUCCCAGCUACUUCAGAGGCUGAGGCAGGAGGGUUGCAAGCUCAAGGCUGGCCUGGGCAAUUUAGCGAGACCUUAUCUCAAAAAAUAAACAAAUACUAGAAGGGCUAAGGGUGUGGCUCAGUGAUAGAGAGCCUUUGCCUAGCUUAGGUGAGGCCCUGGGCUCCAUCCCCAGAGCGUCAAAAGCAAAGACAACCAAAAAGCCAAGUGUGGUGGUGCGUGCCUAUAAUCCCAGCACUGAGGAGGGUGAAGCAGGGGGAUCACUUGAGUUCAAGGCCAGCUUGAGCGACAUACUCAAUUCAAGACCAGCCUGAACUAUAUAUAUAGCGGAAAAAACCCAAAAGUUAACGUUAAAAACCCAGCUAGAACCCCAAAUGUGCCUAUGAGUUCCUUCCUGUAGCUCUGGCAGCAGCCGAUGUGACGGGAAAGGGUGAGGACAGGUGCUACACAGCCAGCGGCUUUGGAAAGUCUGUGCUGGAGCGCUCUGUGCAACACAGAGCUGGCUCAAUGCACAACUUCUGUGUUUUUAUGGAUCAGUUCAAAUUGAUGUUUAAAAACCCACUUGAAUAAAGACUGUAGACUAUGAAAGGAUUGUCGUCAGGAGAUUAUUUUCUCCUACUUCUGUACUGUCUGGUUUCCGUGGGUGACACUAUAUUCUAAACACUUUCUAUUCAGACAUCAUUCCCAUACCACGAAGCUCACCUCUUUGAGCUGUACACAUGAAUUUUAGCAUCCUUAGAAUAUUGAGUACGGGGCUGAGGAUUUAGCUCAGCAGCACAGUGCCUGCCUGGCAAGCACAAAGUCGUGAGUUCGAUUCCGGGUACAGGAAAAAAAACAAACCCCCCCCCAAAAAAAAGAAUAUUGAGUAAUUCGCCUGCAGCCCCCCACUUCUUGAAUUAGGUCCCUUCCUGGGUGGGUCCAGGUUGACAAGCAGCGCUGGCCAUGGAGAUAGUGGAGUCCAGCGCUGACCCUCAGGUCUCUGUUCCUCCCUCAGCCUCGGACCUGCACCUAACUGCACUUGGGGGCCGGGGACCUGAGCUUCCUGCCCCUGUGUGGCUUUAUUUUUAUGAGCAGGUGCUUGCAGUACACCAUAAGCACAUUCCUUGCGGGGAGUUGCCACCCGGCCAGGACACAUCUCAGUCCCUUCUCCUCCCCUUCUCUCCCCCCUCCUUCCCUUGCUUGGUCCCCUUCCUUUGUGCAAAAGACCUACCUCCCAGUUCCUAUUGUCCAUCCCUUGUCUUUAUUUAUACUUUGGAUUUCACAUAGAAGGGAAACCACGAGGCACCGAGCUUGUGCGUCUGACUUUUCUCACCGAGUGAGCAUUAGGGUUUGGUGGUCACCGGCUGUGUUGGGCAUGGCAGGAGCUGGCAGGGCAGAGGUCUGAGGUGCCAAGUCACAGGACAGGGAGCUGCCAGUGCCCUCUGGCCUGUCCCUCCGGCAAGGACCCUUGGGACACUUUUGGGGAGAGGCAGGGCCCCUUCCAGAGAGCUCCUCAUGGAGCCACAAUCUGCCACGUUUCAGGGACAGUGCUUGGCUCAGGGCCCUUCUUGGGCACCUGUGCCUAAAGACAAAUCUCAUUGAGGGAGGCACCAGCCACGGUGUCACCUGGUUCUUUCCCAGCUUUCCCAGGGCACAGAGCUCUGGGUCCAGUGGGGGAAAGUUGUCCCCUGUGUGUGUGACUUCACAUUUUGAGCUAUAGCUGUCUUAUUGAUUCCCUUCUAGUUUUCUGAGCAAAUUAGUCUGUAAUUUUUUAUUUUUUUUCUAUUUAUUGCUGACCCUUUUGGAUUUAUGAGGCCGUGUGAGAGGAAUUAUGUAUUUUACACACAUGCGUUUGGCACGGCAAUAAAUCUCUUACAUUGAAACUCUGCAGAUUUGCCUCAAAUUCAAUACCAAAACUCAAUCUCAUUGCUCGGGCUUCUUGCCAACAGCUCGCAGUGUUGGGGUACACGUAGGAGAACCAGGGUCUCCCCAGAAUGUUCUGACCUGGGAGCCUGGCAGGUAUAUCACAUUGCCAGAGUCAUUUUCGGCCUUGGCAUGGUGCCCUUGAAGGGAGGCUGGGCACAGGAACUAAUGGCAAAGCAGGCCAUGCCUCCUGUGACAGUGCUGGAGGGGGCCGGGGCUAUCAAACGGCUGUGGUGGGCGGAGGAAAAGUAUAUCCAUCGAAGGUGCUGGACACAUUUUAUGUCCCGACGUGUGCAGAGCCCGGCUCCAGCAUGCAGAUGCAGUGACCGGGUGAAGCUGUCCCACAGGACCCUCCCUCCAAGGUCUCCGGCUCUGAUCUUCGGUAACCACUCAGCCCAAUAAAUCCUGACACCAGUCUCGGGAGAAGUCAUUAUGUUUCAUAGAAAGUGGUUAUUUCUCUGUUAAACCCCACGUUUAAUUUUCCAGCGAUCUGUCUCUUUCUGCAUCCUGCUUAUUGCGUCCCUCCUGCAUAGAAAACCAUCCUGCCAUUGGCCUUUGUGCCCCACAUCCCACGUCACCAAGGGAGCCUCCCAGGUCCUUGGAUUCCCGUCCCUGCACAGCCACUCACACAGCCCACACCAAAGGCCACCCUUUCAGUUUACAGAGUGACAGCCGUGCGCUGCUGGGGUGCCAUGUCCACUGCUGCUCUCAAAAUUCUUGGGGUGAAGGACUGUAGAGGAUGAAGAAAUAAAGACAAGGAUCAGGAAGCAGAAAGCUAAGGUCAGGUGGAGCCCCCUCUCCAGAUGGGAGAAAGGAACUGCUCAAGGACUGCGGUGCAUUUACUUACACACUCGGCAGGUUGAUGUCACGUGCAGCCUCUGUCUAGCAACCUGCUUGCCUGGCUGCCUCAGGUUCUCUGUGUUCUCAGAGCUGGAACGGCUUGUUCAUGUGGCUGGCCUCGGGCGCUCUGCACGUGUGAUCAAUCUCCAGUUUCAGCCGAUCCCCACACUGGGGGACACGGUGGCACUGGUUCUGACACGCCAGCAUGCCCACACCCGGGGUGUUUGGUUGCUGGGGCUGGGAGCCGGGUAAGCUCACUUGCCUUCCAAAUGGGGCUGGCCCUGUGCCCAAGAUGCCCUGCCCAAACCAAACCAGGCUCAGGAAGUCAGCCUUUCCCAUGCUAGCACCCCAAGUGGCCUCUGGGACCCCAAGAAAUAUACAGAGCUCAUCCUUCUCCAGGGCCCUGUCCUGUUUGCCCACACCAUGGCAACCACGCCCAUCAAGCUGCUUUUCUGCAUUGCCCCCAACAACUGUCUCCCUUUGCGCCAGCUGAGGCCCCUCCCUGAUGUCCCAAGGACACAGAAGA